GUAGACCGCCUGGGGAGUACGGUCGCAAGACUAAAACUCAAAUGAAUUGACGGGGGCCCGCACAAGCGGUGGAGCAUGUGGUUUAAUUCGAUGCAACGCGAAGAACCUUACCUGGUCUUGACAUAGUAAGAACUUUCCAGAGAUGGAUUGGUGCCUUCGGGAACUUACAUACAGGUGCUGCAUGGCUGUCGUCAGCUCGUGUCGUGAGAUGUUGGGUUAAGUCCCGCAACGAGCGCAACCCUUUUCCUUAUUUGCCAGCGGGUUAAGCCGGGAACUUUAAGGAUACUGCCAGUGACAAACUGGAGGAAGGCGGGGACGACGUCAAGUCAUCAUGGCCCUUACGACCAGGGCUACACACGUGCUACAAUGGUCGGUACAAAGGGUUGCUACCACGCGAGUGGAUGCUAAUCUCAAAAAGCCGAUCGUAGUCCGGAUUGGAGUCUGCAACUCGACUCCAUGAAGUCGGAAUCGCUAGUAAUUGC
rnacentral:rRNA from 1 species